UUCGAUCUGAGACUUGAGCCAUUAACCAUAAAUCACGAGUUUCAUGUGCCUACAAUCUAAGUUCUACACAAUGUAACAAAAGCUGCAACGUUCAAACCUACUUCUUACAGGGAUACAGGUUGAUUGCUAUCCCACUAACAAACAAAUCUAGCAGAAACAUCAUUAAUGUUACAGUCAUCCAUGGAAUCAUCAUAGAGGUUACAGGCAAAUACAAUAAACUAGAAUACCACAGGGUGGCUAGGAUACUGGUUGUCAUAUUAGUUGCUUGCAGGCGCAGAUCCUGUAGGUUGUGGGGUAUCAGCUUGCCCACCUUCUUUAACCUUACCAUUUUCAAUCACCUCCGCAUCUACUGC
rnacentral:lncRNA from 1 species